AGCAGAAAAAAAUGCUGCUCGAGCAGCAUUUAAAUGCUGCUCGACCAGCAAAAUACUGCUCGAGCAGCAAAUUUACUGCUCGACUAGCAUUUUUUCUGCUCGAGCAGAAAAAUCCUGCUCGACCAGCAUUUAUUUUUAGAUUAUGGCAUUAGCCAAUCAGAACUCUUGUUAUAUUUGCCAUUUGGUGCAAAACUGGUUUGUUUGGAAAAAAUGGCUGCCGCCGUGAUGGUGCCUUUUUCACAUCUUCUGCAAGUUUAUGUGACGAUCUGUUUAAAGUUUAACAUUGACACGCGGUGGACUUCAAUAUGUAUGAUCUACUUAUGCUGCAACAAUGUAAAGGCAACAAUCACUGGGUUUUGCUGGUUGCAAGUGUUAUGUCCAGGACUGUAACCAUUUACGACUCGUUGGGUGGUAACAACAAGGCCUUGUUCGAUUUGUUCUGCCAGUUCAUGUGUCAACGAGCGCAAAUUGUGAAAGAUGGCUUGGAAAAAAUCAGUUCAGAGUUAAAAGCGCCACCUUGCAACAAACAGCGCCACGGAAACAGCUGUGGAGUGUUUGCAUUGAUGACUGCCAAAUGUUUGGUCAUGAAAAAGCAUCCCACAAUGUUGCGACAGGCCCAUGAUUCAGUUUAUCGAGACUAGUCGUGAGAAGCAGACUUCUGAUUCCUGGAGUGCGGCAAACAUAUCUGUGCGACUCGAUCACUCCACUGUAAAGACCCGCACGGCAUUAAAAUGGAUAUUAUCAAUAUGUGUUGUUGCUCGAAAAUAUGUUUGUGUAGCAGGAAGUGCUUUGGGCUCGAUUAAUCUGAGAACUCAACAAAAUAUUAAUAAAAUCCUUCUGUGCCUUUUAGUUCUGAAAACAGAAGUAGCCAGUUGGUAUUACACAUCUCCUAAACAAGUAAAGCACGAUAAAACUUAAGAUGUUAUAAUCCUAAAUUUUUAUAACAUCUUUAUAUCCACACAAAAAUAUUGAUGAUUGUGGUGCUCAGAUUGCAAAACCACCUGUUUGGCAAAAAUAAUGCAGAUGGUUAGAUUAUGAUAAGUGCAAGAAAAAAAGAAUAACUCUGGAGAUAAUAAUUUAUAUGAUAAUCAUUGCUUGACAGAAUCACAAUUGACCUAGAUAUUUAUUUAUGUAGUGGUGUAUUUUUCAAUGAGUGCCUUAAGAUUCCAAAAACAUAUUGACUUAAAAUAAAUAAUCCCGAUGGCGUAAAUGA